GCGGGGGUGCCCGAGCUAGGUCAAAGGGGCGGGACUUAGGCUCCCGUGGCGUAGGCCUGCGUGGGUUCAAAUCCCACCCCCCGCACCA
rnacentral:tRNA from 1 species